rnacentral:piRNA from 1 species
UGGAAAUCUGAACAGGUGCCUUCCAAAU